rnacentral:lncRNA from 1 species
GGGAUGAGUUUUGGGAUGAGGAUGAUGAUGAAGGCUCGCAUGAGGUCCCAGGGGGGGAUUUGGAUUGGGACAGGGAUGAGUUUUGGGGUGAGGAUGAUGAUGAAGGCUCACACGAGGUUACAGGGGGAUUUGGAUUGGGACAGGGCUGAGUUCUGGGAUGAGGAUGAUGAUGAAGGCUCACAUGAGGUCCCAGAGGAUUGGGAUGGGGAUGAGGAUGAGUUUUGGGAUGAGGAUGAUGAUGAAGGCUCGCAUGAGGUCCCAGGGGGAUUUGGAUUGGGACAGGGAUGAGUUUUGGGAUGAGGAUGAUGCAGAUGACACUGAUGAAGGCUCACACGAGGUGCCAGGGGAUUUGGAUUGGAACAGGGAUGAGUUUUGGGGUGAGGAUGAUGAUGAAGGCUCACAUGAGGUCCCAGGGGAUUUGGAUUGGGCUGAGUUUUGGGAUGAGGACUGGGGUGAGGAUGAUGAGGAUGAGGACGAAGGCUCUCACAUGAGGUCCCACUCGAUGGCCGCCUGCUCCAGCUGCUCCAUCAGCUCCGCCAGGCGGCUGCGGAAGAAAACCUCGAAGCGCAGAUCGUCCUCGAACACCAGCGAGCGCUGCAGGCCCCGCGCCGAGAUCUGGAAUUCCCACAUUUGGGAUUGGGGAUUGGGGAUGGAGCCUGGGAAUUCCGGGGGUUCUGGGAUUUGGGAUGGAUCCUGGGAAUUCCAGGGGUUCUGGGAUGUGGGAUGGAUCCCGGGAAUUCCAGGGAUUCUGGGAUUUGGGAAGGAUCCCGGGAAUUCCGGGGAUUCUGGGAUUUGGGGAGGAUCCCAGGAAUUCCAGGGAAUUCCAGGGAUUCUGGGAUUUGGGAUGGAUUCAAAAAAUUCCAGGGAAUUCCAGGAAUUUGGGAUGAAUCCCAAAAAUUCUAGGGGUUCUGGGAUUUGGGAUGGAUCAAAAAAAUUCCAGGGGUUCUGGGAUAUGGGAUGGAUCCCAAAAAUUCCAGGGAAUUCCAGGGAUUUGGGAUGGAUCCCGAAAAUUCCAGGGAAUUCCAGGGAUUCUGGGAUUUGGGAUGGAUCCCAAAAAUUCCAGGGAAUUCCAGGGAUUCUGGGAUUUGGGAUGGACCCCAGGAGUUCCGGGGAUUCUGGGAUUUGGGAGGGAUCCCAGGAGCGCUGGGAAUUACAGGGAUUUGGGAUGGAUCCCGAAAAUUCCAGCAAUUCCAGGGAUUUGGGAGGGACUCCAGGAAUUCCAAAGAUUUGGGAUGGAUCCCGAAAAUUCCAGGGGUUCUGGGAUUUGGGAUGGAUCCCAAAAAUUCCAGGGAAGUCCAGGGAUUUGGGAUGGAUCCCAAAAAUUCCAGGGGUUCUGGGAUUUGGGAUGGACCCCAGGAAUUCCAGGGAUUCUGGGAUUUGGGAUGGAUCCCAAAAAUUCCAGGGAAUUCCAGGGAUUUGGGAUGGAUCCAAAAAAUUCCAGGGGUUCUGGGAUAUGGGAUGGAUCCAAAAAAUUCCAGGGGUUCUGGGAUUUGGGAUGGACCCAGGAGCACUGGGAAUUCCAGGGAUUUGGGAUGGAUCCUGAAAAUUCCAGGGAUUUCGGGAUUCGGGAUGGAUCCCAAAAAUUCCAGGGGUUCUGGGAUUUGGGGAGGAUCCCGAAAAUUCCAGGGAAUUCCAGGGAUUCUGGGAUUUGGGAUGGAUCCUGAAAAUUCCAGGGAUUCUGGGAUUUGGGAUGGAUCCUGAAAAUUCCAGGGAAUUCCAGGGAUUCUGGGAUUUGGGAUGGAUCCAAAAAAUUCCAGGGAUUCUGGGAUUUGGGAUGGGUCCCGAAAAUUCCAGGGAAUUCCAGGGAUUCUGGGAUUUGGGAAGGAUCACGAAAAUUCCAGGGGUUCCAGGGAUUCGGGAUGGAUC